UACGUAGGUGGCAAGCGUUGUUCGGAAUUAUUGGGCGUAAAGGGCGCGUAGGCGGUCUUGUAAGUCAGCUGUGAAAGCCCGGGGCUCAACCCCGGAGGGUCGGCUGAUACUGCAGGACUGGAGUACGGAAGAGGUAGCUGGAAUUCCCGGUGUGGCGGUGAAAUGCGUAGAUAUCAGGAGGAACACCGGUGGCGAAGGCGGGUCUCUGGGCAACAACUGACGCUGAGGAGCGAAAGCGUGGGGAGCGAACAGG
rnacentral:rRNA from 1 species